GUUUUUUUAAACCCUAAAAAUCGUUUUCUUCUGCAUCCUCCUUCUGCUUAAAGCCUCCAUAAUCAAAUUGAUAUCAGUCACUAAAGAUCUUACUAUCUAGGAGCCUCCAAAGCGCUUCAAUCGACCAAGGAUAUGAUCUCUUAAACAUAUAAUUAUGCUGAUGGAAGAUUGAGAGACAGCAAAGGGAUAUUAACACAAAUCUUUUUGGAUUUGAUACAGAAUGAGAGGCUGCAAAGAGAUAUUAAAAACACAAAUCUUUUUGGAUAUGACUGGACCGAGGAUAUAAGACAGCAUAUAUAAGAUGGCUUUUUGAUGUUGCUUUUAUAUUUUCAUAUUGGUUAUCUUGGCUUUUUAAGGUGCUCUUAUAUUUAUUAUAUUGGU
rnacentral:lncRNA from 1 species